UGCCAGACUCCUACGGGAGGCAGCAGUGGGGAAUAUUGCACAAUGGGGGAAACCCUGAUGCAGCGACGCCGCGUGAGCGAUGAAGUAUUUCGGUAUGUAAAGCUCUAUCAGCAGGGAAGAAAAUGACGGUACCUGACUAAGAAGCCCCGGCUAACUACGUGCCAGCAGCCGCGGUAAUACGUAGGGGGCAAGCGUUAUCCGGAUUUACUGGAUGUAAAGGGAGCGUAGACGGCUGUGCAAGCCAGAUGUGAAAGCCCGGGGCUCAACCCCGGGACUGCAUUUGGAACUGUGUGGCUGGAGUGUCGGAGGGGCAGGCGGAAUUCCUAGUGUAGCGGUGAAAUGCGUAGAUAUUAGGAGGAACACCAGUGGCGAAGGCGGCCUGCUGGACGAUGACUGACGUUGAGGCUCGAAAGCGUGGGGAGCAAACAGGAUUAGAUACCCGGGUACU
rnacentral:rRNA from 1 species